ACUGAUCCCGGAUUGUUUCCACCUCUUCCCUUCACCCUCAUGUGCUUAUAGUCUGCGUCUCCCCUUUGUCUUGUGCCAAAGUGUUUCGUCCUUGUCCGUGCACCAAAGCCCUUUUUCACAGUCAUUGUCAUUUUUUGCCUAUGAGGUUUGCUACGCCACAGUCCACAAAGCAGCACACAAGCUCCACCAGCAUCACUCAGUGAUCUUCAAUCACAGGUCACAGAACUGUGGGGGAAAAGGGACACAGAAGUGGUCGUUUCUGUGGUGCCCUCUCAAUUAGGGAACAACUUUGUUAUCCACCACAGUGAGUUCAACACUCUCACCAGUGGCUUGUAGGCGAGGUCAUCGAGUCCCUACUUCACCACACUGCCAGGAAACUGAAUUUGGGAAGCACCAUUUACGUUCUGAGCCAUUAUGUGGCUGGUGUGAUCCUCUUUGGUAAGAGGGAAGAAGUUAGGAGACAGACUAUGUCAAAGGAACACACUCUUGCUUGCACGCUCCAGAUUCUGGGAGAUUGGAUCUCAUUUACGGGCGUCAAGGAGCCGCUAUCAAUAUGUGGGAGAGUUUGGAUGUCUGACUUUGUAACCGACUUUGACAACUAUAAGGCCAUUGUGUCCUUUAUUAACAUUGGCAAUGUACACUGGAAGUUUCUGUGCUGCAGAUAGUACGGUCUAUGUUGUUGAUCCCGCACGCAGUGCUACCGAGCAGGCAGACUCAGACAACGCAGCAAACAGAUUGCGUAAGUACUUCAACAUGAGGAGGAUCUGUCUGGGGAAAAACUGACUGGGUCAAUGUUAAGUGGAAAGGCGGUGUUCUGGAACACCCAUUUCAGAGAGAUGGGAGUAGCUGCGGUGUAAUUGUCAUCAAAAUGGCAAAGGCAGUCAUGGAGGCUUUUCCAAAGAAAGCAGAAAUGUCAUUUGGGACAGCUCCAAGAUUGAUGGCAGAUGACAGAAAACACUUGGCUCUCGAGCUCCUGGAAGCCUCAGAUUCAGUGUGACACCUGUUGCAGGUGGUUCCAUGUUGAGUGCAUCGACAUGGACUCGGAAACACUUCAGCAGGCAGAGAGUAGUGAAUGGAAUUGUGUUAUUUGUGAAAAAUUAAUAAACAACUUCAACAAUGAUCUCAUACUAUAUCAACAGUCUAUAUUCAUCCUGCUCCCACAUCCACAUUUUACUAGAGAAUUAUGUUAUUUGUUCCCCAAAUGUGGAGCUGAGACAUGGAGGGUUUGUAAUGAUGUUUUCAGUUUUCAACUGAGUUUAGUUUUUCCUCUGUGUUUGGAGUUUAAACCUCUUAAUUUGUUCAGCUUCAUUCUUAUUUUGAACAAAUAAACAAAACUGAUAUUUAAAAAAAAAAAAAAGAAUCUCCCUUUACAAAGCAAAAAUGUGAACUUUGAGGCUGAAUUUCUAAACAGUCAGGGUGGUCCUGAGAUCAAGUGUACAACCCUUUGUCAGAAAUUAUGGAUCAAAGAGAUUUUACAGUAGAGUAAAUAUUGCGCAUAAUGCCUUUUCAACUAAAGAAAAGGAACUUUGAGGCUGAAUUGCUCAAAAAUUAUAAAGUAAAUAUGCUUGAUACUGAGUGAGUGAACAGUCAGGAUGGUCCUGAGUUAAAUUGUAUCAACCUUUGUCAGAAAUUAAGGAUCAAAGAGAAUUUACAGUAGAGUAAAUAUUGCACAUAAUGCCUUUUUCAUUUCAAAAUAAUGAAAUUUGAGGCUGAAUUUCUCAAAAAUGAUAAAGUAAAUAAGCUUCAUACUGAGUGAGUGAACAGUCAGGAUGGUCCUGAGUUAAAUUGUAUCAACCUUUGUCAAAAAUUAUGGAUCAAAGACAUUUUACAGUAGAGUAAAUAUUGCACAUAAUGCCUUUUUCAAUUCAAAAUAAUGAACUUUGAGGCUGAAUUUCUCAAAAAUGAUACAGUAAAUAUGCUUGAUACUGAGUGAGUGAGCAGUCAGGAUGGUCCUGAGGACAACUGUAUCAGCCAUUGUCAGAAAUUAUGGAUCAAAGACAUUUUACAGUAUAGUAAAUAUUGCACAUAAUGCCUUUUUCAACAAAAAAAAAGCAACUUUGAGGCUGAAUUUCUCAAAAAUGAUACAGUAAAUAUGCUUGAUACUGAGUGAGUGAACAGUCGGGAUGGUCCUGAGUUAAAUUGUAUCAACCUUUGUCAGAAAUUAUGGAUCAAAAAGAUUUUACAGUAGAGUAAAUACUGCACGUAAUGCCUUUUUCAAUUCAAAAUAAUGAACUUUGAGGCUGAAUUUCUCAAAAAUGAUACAGUAAAUAAGCUUCAUACUGAGUGAGUGAACAGUCAGGAUGGUCCUGAGUUAAAUUGUAUCAACCUUUGUCAGAAAUUAUGGAUCAAAGAGAAUUUACAGUAGAGUAAAUAUUGCACAUAAUGCCCUUUUCAAUUCAAAAUAAUGAACUUUGAGGCUGAAUUUCUCAAAAAUGAUAAAGUAAAUAAGCUUCAUACUGAGUGAGUGAACAGUCAGGAUGGUCCUGAGUUAAAUUGUAUCAACCUUUGUCAGAAAUUAUGGAUCAAAGACAUUUUACAGUAGAGUAAAUAUUGCACAUAAUGCCUUUUUCAAUUCAAAAUAAUGAACUUUGAGGCUGAAUUUCUCAAAAAUGAUACAGUAAAUAAGCUUUAUACUGAGUGAGUGAACAGUCAGGAUGGUCCUGAGUUAAAUUGUAUCAACCUUUGUCAGAAAUUAUGGAUCAAAGAGAAUUUACAGUAGAGUAAAUAUUGCACAUAAUGCCUUUUUCAAUUCAAAAUAAUGAAAUUUGAGGCUGAAUUUCUCAAAAAUGAUACAUUAAAUAAGCUUCAUACUGAGUGAGUGAACAGUCAGGAUGGUCCUGAGUUAAAUUGUAUCAACCUUUGUCAGAAAUUAUGGAUCAAAGACAUUUUACAGUAGAGUAAAUAUAUCACAUGAGGAGAGCCCAGUGUGUAUUUUAUGUCUGAAAACUCUAUGAGACCCAACAAAAUAAGAAGAUUCUUAGAAACAUUACACCCCAGUCACAUGCAUGUGUUCUUUUUGGUUGAGCUUUAUCAUCUUAGUAGCAAAGUGAUUAUAAUUAAAUUUAUUUUUUCUCUAUUAUUGAAAAAACUGAUGGAGGAAUGUAGUGAUAAAUGUCACCUAGUGUACUUCAAUUAAGAUAAAUUUAAGCAAAAUUAUGGCACUAUUUUUUGAAAAAGGGACAAAUGUCACAAAACAUUUUUGUACAACAGAGAUUCCUGAAAGUAAUGUGGAUUUAAUGUUCAUCUGUAUGUUAUGUAAAUACACAUGUUAAACCUG